GCGUACGCGAGUAGACUGCAGCGCGUACUGGACGGUAUCAGAGCGCUACCCUGCUAGCAGUGGAGAGCCAGGUGAAGGUGUCCAGGGUAAGGGCUUGUUCUGCCUCAGGUUGAACGGAAAGUUUCUGAAGUUGAGCAUCCUGGGGGAUGUUUGUAGGACUGUUGUUAGACGAUAAAAGUUCAGAUGGUUGUGGAUGAAUGGGAUUUUAUUUGCUCUUUCAGAUAGCUAUUCCUACCAAAGAUCGUAUCAGUUACAAAACAUAAGCUUGCAGUUUAUACAUCUUGUAGCAUCUGUAGCAAGAUAAACUGGCAGAUGAACAAAUUAGCAAGUACAAACACAUGUGACUCUAUAGAUAAGAUUAAGUAACGUGCAGUUACUUCUCUGUAAAAAAAAUUGCUAAUGGUCAACACUGACAGAAUUGGGUGAUAUUUGCAACAUAAAGGGUAAAGAAUGUGGGAAUUUCUAGUAUGUUGAUAUUACUCUGUUAACAAAACUGAAGUACCAGCCACUUGCUAUGUCUGGUUCUUCUAGCGCCCCCUGCUGCCACCUGCUGGCGAGAAAGCGGUACUGCAGGCGCAACGGCGCGGCGCGAUAGCGACCUCUGUCGCCGCCUGCUGGUCUAAAGUGGGCACUGCAGGCUGAGUGGCGCCGCGCGUGCGCGGUGGCGCCCGGUCGCCCUCUGCCGCCCCCUCUGGCGAAGAAUGGCACUGCAGGCUGAGCGGAGCCGCGCACGCGCGCUGGCGCCCAGGUUCCCUCUGCCUCCCCCUCUGGCCAAAAAGCGGUACUGCAGGCUGAGCGGCGCCGCGCAUGCGUGGUAGCCGCAGCGCCGCCGGCAUUCUCGUUAGUGCCCCUGCCUGCGGCAAAAUGGCGGCGUCCUGCUCCUGGGGAGAAGCUGUGUCGCCGCGGCUCGGCUCGGGACGGGACGGGACGGGACGGGACGCGACACCACACCACACCGAGUUUGGUAGUCGGGGCCGCCCCGGGACGGCGCGCGGCGCGAGGCGGCGGGCGGUCGGGGCGCUGCGCGGUCGGCGGUUCCUGGGGCAAUGGCCCUUGUGCGGGGCGAGGGGCGCGCCGCGCCGUGCCGUGCCGGACCCGUGCUCCGCGGGGCCGUGGGGUCUGGCGGUGGCGAGCCCGGGCGAAAUGGGGCGGGGGAGGGAGGGAGAGCACGGAGAGGAAAGGAGAGGCGGGGAGCGGCACGGUGGAGGGGGGCGUUCCGGAGUCCCCGCGGGGUCAGGCGGGCUGCUCUGUCCCGAGGCAUGCUGGGAAAUGUAGUCCUGCGCUGCCGGGCGGCCGCCUCGGUCGCUGCGCGGCCACCCCGUUGUCGCUGUCGCUUCGGCCCGCGUAAGGCGUGUCACACCCCGGUGUGUUCUCCUGGGGGGGUGACAGCUCAGCCUCCGGAUCCUUACCGAGGAGGAAGCCGGGGGAGAGAGCGAGCGAGAAACGCCUCAACCGCGACAUCGUCCCGGCGGCACCCAGAGCGGGAGCUGCGGUGAGCGUCCUGCUGCCCGGCCCCUUUCUUAACCUGUCCCCUCUCCCGCGGAACGGUGGGGAACAGGAUGGCGGGGGGCGGAGGGGGGACCGCUGCUUAGGGAGGGCUGGGCGUCAGUCAGCAGGUGGUGAACAAUAGCAUCGCGCAUCGCUUGCUUUGCAACGUUCCCUCGUCAUCAUUGUUAUGAUUUCCCUGCCUUCUUUGUCCUAUUAAACUGUCUUUAUCCGAACCCACGAGCUUUACCUGUUUUUUCUUCCCGAGUCUCCCACGGUGGGGAGAAAAGCACCACUCAGCCAUUCGCUCUGGCCACGUGCUGGGUUCAGCCAGAACGAGAACGCAGAUGGGAAAGAGCAGAAUGUGCAUGUCCUCAUUCGGCUUUCAAAAGGAAACGGACUAACAAGUUACUCUAGCGAACAGUUUGGGGUUGAUUGGGCAAGUUCUCCUGACUUUGGGAACUUGUCAGGACUACCAGUCUUCUCUUUCUAAUGUUAUUUUUCAUAAUACUCACCGCAAACCCUUGCCGAAUUUGAAAAAGUUACAGGGAGGUCGCCUGUGCUGUCUUUGCGUCUCUCUGGAAAGGGGGAUGCGCUGCACGGAGGUGUGACUCUUUUUCUGUAAUCUCUCGUCAAGAACUUCUGGGUAAACAGAUCCUUCAGCUCGUUGGAUACGGACGACCUGCAGGGUUGUUUGCCGUUCCCACGAUAGGGAUAGCUGCAGAGCAGGUACCGAGCGGGAAGGAGAUUCGAGCGACAGCUAAUGUCACCGUCAAGAGCACUGUGGCAUGGGAGCAGCCGGGGACAGGAUGCGAAAGGAGAACUUGAUAAGGAGCUGCUCUGGAAGGUGGAGGCAGGCAGCGACCCAAGAGGAGCAAAAUCAGCAGGGGAAGGUGGGAUCGGGGUGGGGGGAUGUUAGGAAUGUUAAGAGAGGAGGAGCAGCCGAGAGGAGCGACUUUUCCCUUUCCUGCGGAGGGAGAUGAUGAUGGAAAACCUGCCCUGAAGAAACGCUUGCCGUUUGCCGUUCAGGCUGUAAAGCCGCGCACGUGUCUUCCUGAGAACGGCUGCACGCGUGUGGCAUCUCAGGCCGUGAGCUGCUCAGGCAGGGAUUUCUCCGUGCAGGGCGGCGAGUCCCUGGGAAAGCCAUCAUCUGGUGGAAGAAAGCCCAGGGGACUUCUCAGAGGUAAGAAGCCUUCAAACAUACAGGGACCCCUAACUCGUCCACCGAGCAUGCGAGACAAACAUCCGUGGCACAAAGAUCAAGGACGACUUCUCAGAGGUAAGCAGCUUUCCUUUUGUUCCCCCGUCCUCUCAGGAGCCCUCCUUACGCUCUUUGCACACGCUUGAGGCCCACAACACUCAUUUUCUCCUCUAUUUAGCAUUCCUGGUCCCUGCUAUGGGGAAUAAUUGCCUCAGGUGACCUGAAAAUUAAACUGAUAUUCACGUUUUAAAGAAAAGGUACAGCACUGAAGAAGCUUCCAGGGUGGAGUGUAGUUGCGCUACAUAAAAGAUCCCGAGGCCUCCAACCUUAGACGUUGAUCACGCUGGGGGAACCUGGUGUGCUGACUCUAAGAGGAACAGCAGUACGGAGUGUAGAGCAGAGCGGAGGUGCCGUGGAUAGGCUCUGUGACGAGACGGGAACUUGGUUGUUCUUAUGCGUAACUGAGACUGAUUUCCAGUGGAAUAACAGUGCUGUUAAUGGGGUGCUAUCAGACCCUGAGAGCAAAGAUACACUUGCCUUUGAGUGGAAAGACCCUGAAAUGGGGUGGAAGCAACGAUAGAGAUGGACAGUUUUACCUCGGGGCCACCAAAUUUAUUUGGGCAAGUUCCAGAACAAAUUUUUGAGCAAUUCCAGCCUCCGGGGGAGGUGUUCCUCUUGCAAUAUGUGGAUGAACUCUUAUUGUCAGGACAGGAGAAAACAGUUGUGAAGGAAGCCACUAACAAGCUAUUCGACUUUCUGGGAAAACAGGGCUUGAAAGUAUUGGAAAAUAAAUUACAGUAUGUAAAAAGAGAAGUCAAGUACUUAGGGCAUCUAGUGUCUGAGGGAAAACAAAGAAUAAAUCCAGAGAAGAUUCAGGGAACUGUCGAGCUACCCCUACCCAAAACUAAGAAAGAGAACUAAAAAGUUUUGAGAGAGGGGGGUUUUUAAGGAAUCAGGAGCCACCAAGUCCAAAGGAAAAUAGAUACUCCCUGCUGGGAGAGAAAUGCUGAAUCAAGUGCUAGUGAGGCAAAUAUUAAUUUUAUAUUAAUAUUAAUGUUUUAUAUCAAAGAGAGCUGUUGGGGAAUUCAAGCAACGUGUGACGCUGUGCUACGGAAAUGUGUAUGUGUAGGAGUAUAUAUACUUCGGCUGAACAAGUACGCAGGAGUUGUGUAGUAUGUCAAAAGGUAAACAGGAAAAUUAUCCGCAGUCAGCCCGAAGCGGGGCAAGAACCAGGAAUUCAACCCUUCCAAAGCGCACAGGUGGAUUUUACAGAACUCCUUAGAACAGGUAGGUUUAAAUACUUAAUGAGUCUUGGUCGAUCACUCGUAAGGGUGGGCAGAAGCUUGCUCUUCGGUAUCUGCUACUGUGAGCAUGGUAGCCAAGGUAAUUCUAGAACAGAUGAUUCUCAGCCAUGGAGCCACUGAAAAUACUGUCUCUGAUCAAGGAAGUCACUUUGCGCCACAAAUAUUUCAAGGGCUAAUGUAGACUCCAGGAAUUAAGUGGAAAUUUCACGCUCCUUGAUACCCUUCCUCUUCUGGAAGGGUGGAGAGGAUCAGACAGUAAAGAAGCAAUUGACUAAGUUCUGGAAACUCGGCUCCCCUGAACGAAGAAGCGCUUACCUUUGGCACUUCUCCGAAUUCAAACUGCACCAAGAAAAGAUGUGGGAAGGAGUGUCACCAUAUGAAACGUUACUUGGAUUGCUAUACCUGGACAAAGGGAAUGAAUUACCUCAAUUUGAGACAAAAGAUGCUUUUCUUAAGAACCGUGCACUUGUGCUGUCGUCCUCUUUGUCCUCUCUCAAGACCUGCGGAUCAUUAGCUCAAACCCCACCCUUGGAAGCCCUGAUCCAUCCAUUCCGAGUAGGAGAUUGUGUUUUGAUGCGAACAUGGAGAGAAUCAAAGCUGCAACCUGAGUGGGAAGGACUGUUCCAAGUGCUCCUGACUACUGAGAUGGCAGGAAAAACGGCUGAGAAAGGGUGGACUCAUACCUGGGUAAAAGCAUCAGUUAACCCUGAUACCUGAGAGACUGCAUUAACAAAGACUUUUAAGGUUAAAACUGUCAAAACUAUCUAUUGUAAACCUUUAACUUCUCCUUAGAAGAAUCCUUAAUGAAUUAAUGAGUAAAAGGGAUUGAAUUACACAGAACUGGAGUGUUUACAGGGAACACUCCCUGCAGAUGGGAGAAGGCGGUGGGGUAUUUAAUCCCCACCAGAAGAAUCCUUAUUAGUUUGUGAUUUUUAUUGUUUUGCUUAAUUAUUAUUUCUUAAUUAUUAUAGGGGUAUGUAUAUAUACAGAGAGAGAAAUGAUGUAUUUUAAGUUUAUCUUAGUAAUACCUACUCUGAAUGCAUUAGUGGUAGGAUAAAGGGGAAAAAUCAGCAUUUCCAAUGAAUCCAGAACAUCUCUCGAGUUCUAUCUCGAAGUAAUUGUUGGAUUUGCACCCACGUGCCUAGAAGGACUGAAAAGGCCUUGUCCUUGAUUGCUAUUUCCAGCAGCAACUAUGGAUACUCUAGAUUUCUAAAAAUGACAGAUCAUACUCAGUCCUCGGAAGGAAUAGAUUUUGAAGUCGAGCUCCCCGCACGUAAUCCUGGCUACAAUAUACCGUGUUAUCGAAGGUGCCUUUUAAACGACAUUGAUAGAAACUCAGGGGGCGACAGAACUGACCCUGGGUGUGGAACUAUCCAUACAGGGAAUAAUCCAUACUGUACCAAAUAUGGUAGCCACAGGAAUGCUAAUAUACGUAGCGCACACCAGAUGCAACAUGAGAAUCCUGUAACUGGAUGGCCUGAGAUGGUAACUGGAUGGCGAGAGGUGGUACUGGCUACGUGGCAAUAAAGCCAGGAAGGUGUUGCCCCUGGGAUGGAAGGGAGCUCGCACCCUGGAGGCAGUAAUUCCAAAUGUAACUAUUACUGAAGACCCACAAAGCCAAAGCCCCCUUGAGACCACACGCAGGAUUAAGCGGACUCCAGAUAGUUCUCUAGUAAACUUCUCUAGUAUUUCACAGCUUUGCAAGGUGGUUUUUACCUUGGUUAGGGGCGGGUGAAUUAGAAAAAGCUAUUGUAAAUAUCUCUGCUAUGACUGAAGAACUAGAAAAUAAGUUCGAUAAGUUUGCAAAAAUAGUACUGCAGAAUCGAAUAGUAUUAGAUUCAUUAAUAACCUCAUAAGGAGGAGCGUGCACUGUAAUUAAUGCUUGUUGCUGUAUAUACGUAGAUCAAAUGGGACGAAUUUGACUGAUAUUUGGGGGGAAAAAAAAGUAUAUUGAGGGGGGUGGGGGGGAAAGAUCCUACAUAGAGUACCUCAAGGUGACAGUUCCUGGGCAUUUAGAAACAUUUGGGAGAAACUAACUUCGUGGUUACCUGAACAGAAUUGGCUCAAACAACUGUUUGUUGGCAUUGUAAAAAUAAUGGCAUUGUACACCUACCGUCCCCCGUGACAUCUGAAGAAGACUAUUGCGCCUUAAUGUUGGAAAAACUCAAGAGUGCGGUAUGUGAAGAGGUGCAAAAACAACAGUAGGAGUAAGGAAAGAAGAGGGGGGAAUUGCGAGAAACUGAGUUGUGUUUUUGCAGCAGAGAACUAAUUUUCUGUAUUCCGAGGUAGUUGUGUAGCCAUAAUAAGGAGAAAUGCUACGUGGGUAAGUGGACAGUGGAAGGCCUCACUGUUCCAAAAUAAGGCAGAAGCUUGAGGAAAAACAGGUCGAGCAGUGUGGGAACAGCAAAACAAAGAUCACAGGUUCCUGAAACA